rnacentral:rRNA from 1 species
UGCAGUCGAGCGGAACGAUCCCAGCUUGCUGGGAGGCGUCGAGCGGCGGACGGGUGAGUAAUGCAUAGGAAUCUGCCCGAUAGUGGGGGAUAACCUGAGGAAACUCAGGCUAAUACCGCAUACGUCCUACGGGAGAAAGCAGGGGCUCUUCGGACCUUGCGCUAUCGGAUGAGCUUAUGUCGGAUUAGCUGGUUGGUGAGGUAACGGCUCACCAAGGCGACGAUCCGUAGCUGGUCUGAGAGGAUGAUCAGCCACAUCGGGACUGAGACACGGCCCGAACUCCUACGGGAGGCAGCAGUGGGGAAUAUUGGACAAUGGGGGCAACCCUGAUCCAGCCAUGCCGCGUGUGUGAAGAAGGCCCUCGGGUUGUAAAGCACUUUCAGUGAGGAAGAAUGCUUGUCGGUUAAUACCCGGCAAGGGAGACAUCACUCACAGAAGAAGCACCGGCUAACUCCGUGCCAGCAGCCGCGGUAAUACGGAGGGUGCGAGCGUUAAUCGGAAUUACUGGGCGUAAAGCGCGCGUAGGCGGCUUGAUAAGCCGGUUGUGAAAGCCCCGGGCUCAACCUGGGAACGGCAUCCGGAACUGUCAGGCUAGAGUGCAGGAGAGGAAGGUAGAAUUCCCGGUGUAGCGGUGAAAUGCGUAGAGAUCGGGAGGAAUACCAGUGGCGAAGGCGGCCUUCUGGACUGACACUGACGCUGAGGUGCGAAAGCGUGGGUAGCAAACAGGAUUAGAUACCCUGGUAGUCCACGCCGUAAACGAUGUCGACUAGCCGUUGGGGUCCUCGAGACCUUUGUGGCGCAGUUAACGCACUAAGUCGACCGCCUGGGGAGUACGGCCGCAAGGUUAAAACUCAAAUGAAUUGACGGGGCCCGCACAAGCGGUGGAGCAUGGUGGUUUAAUUCGAUGCAACGCGAAGAACCUUACCUA